rnacentral:rRNA from 1 species
UACGUAGGGGGCUAGCGUUGUCCGGAAUCAUUGGGCGUAAAGCGCGCGCAGGCGGUUUCUUAAGGCCGAUGUAUAAGCCCGGGGCUCAACCCCGGGAGGCAUGGGAAACUGGGAGGCUUGAGUGCAGAAGAGGAGAGUGGAAUUCCUGGUGUAGCGGUGAAAUGCGCAGAUAUCAGGAGGAACACUAAUUGCGAAGGCAGCUCGCUGGGACGUCACUGACGCUGAGACGCGAAAGCGUGGGGAGCAAACAGG